rnacentral:miRNA from 1 species
CGUGCGUAUCGGGAUGUAUCGGAA